GACGAACGCUGGCGGCGUGCCUAAUACAUGCAAGUUGAGCGAUGAAGAUUGGUGCUUGCACCAAUUUGAAGAGCAGCGAACGGGUGAGUAACGCGUGGGGAAUCUGCCUUUGAGCGGGGGACAACAUUUGGAAACGAAUGCUAAUACCGCAUAACAACUUUAAACAUAAGUUUUAAGUUUGAAAGAUGCAAUUGCAUCACUCAAAGAUGAUCCCGCGUUGUAUUAGCUAGUUGGUGAGGUAAAGGCUCACCAAGGCGAGGAUACAUAGCCGACCUGAGAGGGUGAUCGGCCACAUUGGGACUGUGACACGGCCCAAACUCCUCCGGGAGGCAGCAGUAGGGAAUCUUCGGCAAUAGACGAAAGUCUGACCGAGCAACGCCGCGUGAGUGAAGAAGGGUUUCGGAUCGUAAAACUCUGUUGGUAGAGAAGAACGUUGGUGAGAGUGGAAAGCUCAUCAAGUGACGGUAACUACCCAGAAAGGGACGGCUAACUACGUG
rnacentral:rRNA from 1 species